CUCUGAUGAUUAGCAUGUCGCCCCAGUCUGACCGGAGCACGAUUGAUUGACCCUCUCUGAGC
rnacentral:snoRNA from 1 species